CUCUGGAAUGGUUUUUAUACAAAGAGCUUCUAUACCCCUACUACCCCACCAAUUCCAGCAGCAGGAGACCAGCAAACAGGUUUUCUCACUCCUUGAUCCUGAAACUUAACCCUGAGAAGAGGUCAAUUGUCCCCACCAGAUUGCCAAAAAGGUCCAAGAAAAAACAAAAAAGAUCUAACAACUCCUGAUAUCUAUCUUCCUUCUAUCAGAAAACACCAGUCCUACAAUAUUUCUCUCUCAGGUAGGUGGGAAAGCUGUCCACUAGGUGAAUCCCUGAUACUUCAUCAAUGAUUAGAGCAAGGCAUUUAUGACCAAGGCAAGAGCUGAAUAUUGGCUCCCUUGUAU
rnacentral:lncRNA from 1 species